rnacentral:rRNA from 1 species
UACGUAGGGUGCGAGCGUUAAUCGGAAUUCCUGGGCGUAAAGCGUGCGCAGGCGGCUAUUUAAGCUUGCUGUGAAAGCCCCGGGCUUAACCUGGGAACUGCAGUGAGGACUGGAUGGCUGGAGUGUGGCAGAGGGGGGUGGAAUUCCACGUGUAGCAGUGAAAUGCGUAGAGAUGUGGAGGAACACCGAUGGCGAAGGCAGCCCCCUGGGCUAACACUGACGCUCAGGCACGAAAGCGUGGGGAGCAAACAGG